UAGCAUAUCAAUAAGCGGAGGAAAAGAAACCAACAGGGAUUGCCUCAGUAACGGCGAGUGAAGCGGCAAAAGCUCAAAUUUGAAAUCUGGCUCCAUGCGGAGCCCGAGUUGUAAUUUGGAGAGGACACUUCGGGUGCGGCCACGGCAUAAGUUCCUUGGAACAGGACGUCAUAGAGGGUGAGAAUCCCGUCUUUGGCUGCUGGACCGCGCCCAUGCGAAGUUCCUUCGACGAGUCGAGUUGUUUGGGAAUGCAGCUCUAAGUGGGUGGUAAAUUUCAUCUAAAGCUAAAUAUUGGCCGGAGACCGAUAGCGCACAAGUAGAGUGAUCGAAAGGUUAAAAGCACCUUGAAAAGGGAGUUAAAUAGCACGUGAAAUUGUUGAAAGGGAAGCGCUUGCAACCAGACUCGGUCGUGGGGGCUCAGCGGGCAUGCGUGCCCGUGUACUCCCCCAUGCUCCGGGCCAGCAUCAGUUCUGGCGGUUGGUUAAAGGCCUCUGGAAUGUAUCGUCCUCCGGGACGUCUUAUAGCCAGGGGCGCAAUGCGGCCAGCCGGGACUGAGGAACGCGCUUCGGCACGGAUGCUGGCAUAAUGGUUGUAAGCGGCCCGUCUUGAAACACGGACCAAGGAGUCUAACAUCCACGCGAGUGUUCGGGUGUCAAACCCGUGCGCGCAGUGAAAGCGAACGGAGGUGGGAGCCCGCAAGGGUGCACCAUCGACCGAUCCUGAAGUCUUCGGAUGGAUUUGAGUAAGAGCGUGGCUGUUGGGACCCGAAAGAUGGUGAACUAUGCCUGAAUAGGGUGAAGCCAGAGGAAACUCUGGUGGAGGCUCGCAGCGGUUCUGACGUGCAAAUCGAUCGUCAAAUUUGGGUAUAGGGGCGAAAGACUAAUCGAACCAUCUGGUAGCUGGUUCUGCA
rnacentral:rRNA from 1 species